rnacentral:rRNA from 1 species
ACUAUCGUUAACUGAAUACAUAGGUUAACGAGGCGAACCGGGGGAACUGAAACAUCUAAGUACCCCGAGGAAAAGAAAUCAACCGAGAUUCCCCCAGUAGCGGCGAGCGAACGGGGAGCAGCCCAGAGUCUGAAUCAGCUUGUGUGUUAGUGGAACGGUCUGGAAAGUCCGACGGUACAGGGUGAUAGUCCCGUACACCAAAAUGCACAGGUUGUGAACUCGAAGAGUAGGGCGGGACACGUGGUAUCCUGUCUGAAUAUGGGGGGACCAUCCUCCAAGGCUAAAUACUCCUGACUGACCGAUAGUGAACCAGUACCGUGAGGGAAAGGCGAAAAGAACCCCGGCGAGGGGAGUGAAAAAGAACCUGAAACCGUGUACGUACAAGCAGUGGGAGCACCUUCGGGUGUGACUGCGUACCUUUUGUAUAAUGGGUCAGCGACUUAUAUUCUGUAGCAAGGUUAACCGUAUAGGGGAGCCGCAGGGAAACCGAGUCUUAACUGGGCGUUAAGUUGCAGGGUAUAGACCCGAAACCCGGUGAUCUAGCCAUGGGCAGGUUGAAGGUUGGGUAACACUAACUGGAGGACCGAACCGACUAAUGUUGAAAAAUUAGCGGAUGACUUGUGGCUGGGGGUGAAAGGCCAAUCAAACCGGGAGAUAGCUGGUUCUCCCCGAAAGCUAUUUAGGUAGCGCCUCGUGAACUCAUCUUCGGGGGUAGAGCACUGUUUCGGCUAGGGGGUCAUCCCGACUUACCAACCCGAUGCAAACUACGAAUACCGAAGAAUGUUAUCACGGGAGACACACGGCGGGUGCUAACGUCCGUCGUGAAGAGGGAAACAACCCAGACCGCCAGCUAAGGUCCCAAAGUCAUGGUUAAGUGGGAAACGAUGUGGGAAGGCACAGACAGCCAGGAUGUUGGCUUAGAAGCAGCCAUCAUUUAAAGAAAGCGUAAUAGCUCACUGGUCGAGUCGGCCUGCGCGGAAGAUGUAACGGGGCUAAACCAUGCACCGAAGCUGCGGCAGCGACACGAUGUGUUGUUGGGUAGGGGAGCGUUCUGUAAGCCUGCGAAGGUGUGCUGUGAGGCAUGCUGGAGGUAUCAGAAGUGCGAAUGCUGACAUAAGUAACGAUAAAGCGGGUGAAAAGCCCGCUCGCCGGAAGACCAAGGGUUCCUGUCCAACGUUAAUCGGGGCAGGGUGAGUCGACCCCUAAGGCGAGGCCGAAAGGCGUAGUCGAUGGGAAACAGGUUAAUAUUCCUGUACUUGGUGUUACUGCGAAGGGGGGACGGAGAAGGCUAUGUUAGCCGGGCGACGGUUGUCCCGGUUUAAGCAUGUAGGCUGGUUGUCCAGGCAAAUCCGGAUAAUCAAGGCUGAGGUGUGAUGACGAGGCACUACGGUGCUGAAGUAACAAAUGCCCUGCUUCCAGGAAAAGCCUCUAAGCAUCAGGUAACAUCAAAUCGUACCCCAAACCGACACAGGUGGUCAGGUAGAGAAUACCAAGGCGCUUGAGAGAACUCGGGUGAAGGAACUAGGCAAAAUGGUGCCGUAACUUCGGGAGAAGGCACGCUGGUGUGUAGGUGAAGCCCCUGCGGGUGGAGCUGAGACCAGUCGAAGAUACCAGCUGGCUGCAACUGUUUAUUAAAAACACAGCACUGUGCAAACACGAAAGUGGACGUAUACGGUGUGACGCCUGCCCGGUGCCGGAAGGUUAAUUGAUGGGGUUAUCCGUAAGGAGAAGCUCUUGAUCGAAGCCCCGGUAAACGGCGGCCGUAACUAUAACGGUCCUAAGGUAGCGAAAUUCCUUGUCGGGUAAGUUCCGACCUGCACGAAUGGCGUAAUGAUGGCCAGGCUGUCUCCACCCGAGACUCAGUGAAAUUGAACUCGCUGUGAAGAUGCAGUGUACCCGCGGCAAGACGGAAAGACCCCGUGAACCUUUACUAUAGCUUGACACUGAACAUUGAGCCUUGAUGUGUAGGAUAGGUGGGAGGCUUUGAAGCGUGGACGCCAGUCUGCGUGGAGCCAACCUUGAAAUACCACCCUUUAAUGUUUGAUGUUCUAACGUUGGCCCCUGACCGGGGUUGCGGACAGUGUCUGGUGGGUAGUUUGACUGGGGCGGUCUCCUCCCAAAGCGUAACGGAGGAGCACGAAGGUUAGCUAAUCCUGGUCGGACAUCAGGAGGUUAGUGCAAUGGCAUAAGCUAGCUUGACUGCGAGCGUGACGGCGCGAGCAGGUGCGAAAGCAGGUCAUAGUGAUCCGGUGGUUCUGAAUGGAAGGGCCAUCGCUCAACGGAUAAAAGGUACUCCGGGGAUAACAGGCUGAUACCGCCCAAGAGUUCAUAUCGACGGCGGUGUUUGGCACCUCGAUGUCGGCUCAUCACAUCCUGGGGCUGAAGUAGGUCCCAAGGGUAUGGCUGUUCGCCAUUUAAAGUGGUACGCGAGCUGGGUUUAGAACGUCGUGAGACAGUUCGGUCCCUAUCUGCCGUGGGCGCUGGAGAAUUGAGGGGGGCUGCUCCUAGUACGAGAGGACCGGAGUGGACGCAUCACUGGUGUUCGGGUUGUCAUGCCAAUGGCACUGCCCGGUAGCUAAAUGCGGAAGAGAUAAGUGCUGAAAGCAUCUAAGCACGAAACUUGCCCCGAGAUGAGUUCU